UACGUAGGGGGCUAGCGUUGUCCGGAAUCAUUGGGCGUAAAGAGCGCGUAGGCGGCCAGAUAAGUCCGGUGUGAAAGUCACAGGCUCAACCUGUGAAUGCCGCUGGAAACUGUCUGGCUUGAGUCCGGGAGGGGCGAGUGGAAUUCCUGGUGUAGCGGUGAAAUGCGCAGAUAUCGGAAGGAACACCAGUGGCGAAAGCGGCUUCCUGGUCCAGCACCGACGUUCAGGCACGAAAGCGUGGGGAGCAAACAGG
rnacentral:rRNA from 1 species